AGCAGUCGCCGCGGGAAUACAGAGGGUGCGAGCGUUAAUCGGAUUUACUGGGCGUAAAGCGUGCGUAGGCGGCUUUUUAAGUCGGAUGUGAAAUCCCUGAGCUUAACUUAGGAAUUGCAUUCGAUACUGGGAAGCUAGAGUAUGGGAGAGGAUGGUAGAAUUCCAGGUGUAGCGGUGAAAUGCGUAGAGAUCUGGAGGAAUACCGAUGGCGAAGGCAGCCAUCUGGCCUAAUACUGACGCUGAGGUACGAAAGCAUGGGGAGCAAACAGGAUUAGAUACCCGCGUAGUCCCUGUCUCUUAUAA
rnacentral:rRNA from 1 species